GAGUUUUGACGUUUUAUUGGUGUUUGCGUGCGCGUCCGUGCGGGCAGAUAUUUUUGCAUAAAUCACCAUUUUAUUGCUAUUGCAUCGCCCCGAAAACAUCUCAAGAAGCGCUGUAAGUGUUCCGUGAAGAGAAUUUCAGUGUUAUUCUGUGCGAUAGAGUUGUAAAAGUGCGCGGAAAAGAUGUCAGAAGCACAGCCAGCCAGUCCGAAGGUGGAGGAGAAUGACAAGUUAGAAAAGACCCCGCCGCAGCCCAAGAAGACUCCAAGUAAGAGGAAGACAGGGCUGGAGCGAGCACAGGCAGAGAGUGAGCAACUGCUGAAGACAAUGGGAGGAAAUAUUGAAUUGGAGGGUGGACGCAGAACCCGCUCAAGCUCCAAAGCUUCCACACCAUCGACAAAGGAUGUGUCAACGCCACCACCAGCCAAGAAAGCACGCAACACUCCAGCUACCCCCACAAGUGGGCGACGUGGACGUCCGAAGAAGCUGGAAAAUCACGAGGAAGUCGUUGAGAGCAAAACGUCUUUUUUGCAGGAAAAGAGUGAGGAGGAGAAGACAGAAGAGAACAACACGGAGAAAGCCACGGAGUCAGAAACUCCCGCCAAAGUGGAUGACAAAGUUGAUGAGAAGUCUGAUGAGAAGAAGGCAGAUACAAAGGAAAAUGAUGAAACUGACGCAAAGGUCGAGGAGAAGAAAGUUGAAACAGUGACCAAUAACAAGAGUCCCGAGAAGAUGGAAGUUGAUGCAGUUGCGGCGGAGAAGAAGGAGGAGAAGAGUGCAAAUACGGAGUCUGUGACACAGAAAACUGAAUCAGCACCUGUUGUAGCUGCGACAGAGGAGAAGAAACCUGAGGAGACAACGAAGGACGCCAAGACAGAUACGCCAGAAUCAAAGGCACCAGAUGAUACAACACCGAAAGCUACUCCAGAGAAGAAAGAUCAGACAGAUGCUGUUGAAUCUUGUGAACCGAAAAUAUCUCCGAAACCCACUGAGGAGGUUGCAGCACCCUAGAGGAAGUUGCAAAAACAACCCCCGUAAAUUACAAUCCAUCAACAACACACAGAUCCAACUGAAAAGAAAAGAAAAAAAUCCCGUCUCUGCAUCCAAAAAAAAAGAAAACAAAUGAAAUUUACGCAGAUACUACCACACAAUCUGAAGCAAUAAGCCCCACAAUAAAAGAGAUCCGAGAAAUAUAAAUUAACGUCUUCGUACAAAUAUGGAAAAUCAGUGAAAGAGGGACAACAAAAAAAGAAGAAGUAAAAAAAAAAACAAUGAAUUUUUGUCACUGAAAACUGAUGCAAAAAAAAAGUUAUUCCAAGAAAAAUACAAAAAAAAACCCACGAGAUAGAUGAGGUGGAAGGAAGAAAUGUUCAUGAAAAAUGCCAUUAACCUAAUAUGUUCUCAUAAUAUAGAGAUGAUUUGAGGGAGGAGGAAGAACUUACAUUUUAAAAUAAUUCUUUUUUUUAUUACAUGUGUUUUGAGGGAUUUUUUUUGAUAGAGAGAGAGAAGUUGAAAUUUUGCAUGAGUCAGGAAGGGAACAAGAAGAAGUAGCAAUAUAUUAGUUUUGUUUCUUUCACACAAAAUGUACAAUGUUCUAAUAUAUCAUGAAAUUUUCACCUUCGAGAGGUCA